UAGGCGCAUUACGUUUCGGAGCAUUCCUCGAUGUGCUAGUGUCACUAUUUCGUGUACUGAGCGGUGUGUAAGUGUUGCAGAGAGUAGGUUGCAUAUCCAACAGCAAACGAUUCUGAUAAGCGACGAUCAAAUUCAUUCAACAACACCGUUUUAAAGUUGGACAGAAUAUCCGUAAACUCCUCCAGCAGCGUGGCUUUGCAGCCUCGUAGGGCGGUACAGCUCGCGCAGGACCACGAUGAUUGUGAUCCUGGUUUCAGGAUUUCAGUCAAAACUUCAUCCGAGAUCCCCAGACAAGCUUGAUGGUAGGUGUUAUUGCAUAGACCAGCACACAAGUAAACACUUUCUCCCAUUACCGAUUGCAGACACGAAGGACACGAUGCGGCCAUAGCGACGAACUGCAGAUGCAACUAACAGCAAACAGGAACGAUAAACAAACGCAAAUAACUGCUUCAGAUUCACAGGAGGAUCUCUCGGGAUAUAACAGGAAUGAUCACCAGGAAACAACACAGACCAUGUAUAUGCACAGAUAACGAUAAGUUACGAUUUGCACACAAAAAUACUGGUAAAAAACAGAGCGUGAGAUAGCCACAAGCGAACGAUCAGAAUGACAGAUCAGAACGAA